CAAAAAGACACACAGCGAGCUUGAUAUACCACAACUACUAUUUGAGGGUCCUGUUGAUGAUUAACCAGUCAUAACCCAAGAGAUAUCAUAUUCCUAAUUCACACAAGAAAAACACGUAGGUUUGGUUAGUUAGCUUGUUGGCAGUACUGUAUGUCCGAGGUACCUGGUGGUUAGUUAGCUUGUUGGCAGUACUGUAUGUCUGAGGUACCUGGUGGUUAGUUAGCUUGUUGGCAGUACUGUAUGUCUGAGGUACCUGGUGGUUAGUUAGCUUGUUGGCAGUACUGUAUGUCCGAGGUACCUGGUGGUUAGUUAGCUUGUUGGCAGUACUGUAUGUCUGAGGUACCUGGUGGUUAGUUAGCUUGUUGGCAGUACUGUAUGUCUGAGGUACCUGGUGGUUAGUUAGCUUGUUGGCAGUACUGUAUGUCUGAGGUACCUGGUGGUUAGUUAGCUUGUUGGCAGUACUGUAUGUCUGAGGUACCUGGUGGUUAGUUAGCUUGUUGGCAGUACUGUAUGUCUGAGGUACCUGGUGGUUAGUUAGCUUGUUGGCAGUACUGUAUGUCUGAGGUACCUGGUGGUUAGUUAGCUUGUUGGCAGUACUGUAUGUCUGAGGUACCUGGUGGUUAGUUAGCUUGUUGGCAGUACUGUAUGUCUG